AAAGAGGGCAAAGGUCGUGAAUGUGUACCCCGACCCAGGGCCAUGGGGACAGCAGGAGGCUGAGGCCCAGGACUGUCCUUGCCCAACCUGCAGGCGAAGCUGCCCAAGCCCUAAAUCACCAUCAACAACUUAAACCCCAGGGAGAAUAAGGAUGUAUUAGCCUUCACCUGUGAACCUAAGAGUGAGAGCUACACCUACAUUUGGUGGCUAAAUGGUCAGAGCCUCCCGGUCAGUCCCAGGGUAAAGCGACCCAUUGAAAACAGGAUCCUCAUUCUACCCAGUGUCACGAGAAAUGAAACAGGACCCUAUGAAUGUGAAAUACGGGACCGAUAUGGUGGCAUCCACAGUGACCCAGUCACCCUGAAUGUCCUCUAUGGUCCAGACCUCCCCAGAAUUCACCCUUCAUACACCAAUUACCGUUCAGGAGAUAACCUCUACUUGUCUUGCUUCGCGAACUCUAACCCACCGGCACAGUAUUCUUGGACAAUUAAUGGGAAGUUUCAGCAAUCAGGACAAAAUCUGUUUAUCCCCCAAAUUACUACAAAGCAUAGCGGGCU
rnacentral:lncRNA from 1 species